rnacentral:rRNA from 1 species
UACGUAGGGGGCUAGCGUUGUCCGGAAUCAUUGGGCGUAAAGCGCGCGCAGGCGGCUAUCCAAGUCAGUGGUGAAAGCCCGGAGCUCAACUCCGGAACUGCCAUUGAAACUGUUUAGCUUGAGGACGAGAGAGGUGAGUGGAAUUCCCAGUGUAGAGGUGAAAUUCGUAGAUAUUGGGAAGAACACCGGUGGCGAAGGCGGCUCACUGGCUCGUAUCUGACGCUCAGGCGCGACAGCGUGGGGAUCAAACAGG